GUGCUCACUUUGGCAGCUCAUACACUAAAAUUGGCAUGAUAACAGAGAAGAUUGGCAUGGCCCCUCAACAGGGAUCACACAAACACACACAAGAAAUAUAGGAGAUGUUU